rnacentral:rRNA from 1 species
UUGAAAGGGAAACGAUUGAAGUCAGUCAUGCUGGUGGGAAUCAACUUAGGGGAAACUCUAGGUGCACUUCUUCGCUUGGCAGGUUAACGUCGAUCUUGAAUGCCAUAAAAUAAUUGGGGGAAGGUAGCUCCUUCGGGAGUGUUAUAGCCCUUGAUAGAUGUGAUGUUUGGGGUCGAGGAUUGCAACGGAUACCCUUUGGGGCUAGCCGCCUGAUCUCUAAUCGGUGUUGGGUUACGGACAGCAUGCUGACCGUUUUCUAAUUACUGGUUAAAAGGUUAGAGCGUGCAUAAAUUCGUUAAGGAUGUUGACGUA